GACGGAGGGUGCUAGCGUUGUUCGGAAUUACUGGGCGUAAAGGGCGCGUAGGCGGUCUCGUCAGUCGGGUGUGAAAGCCCGGGGCUCAACCCCGGAACGGCACCCGAGACGGCGGGACUCGAGACCGGGAGAGGAGGGUGGAAUAGCCAGUGUAGAGGUGAAAUUCGUAGAUAUUGGCUGGGACACCGGUGGCGAAAGCGGCUCUCUGGCCCGGUUCUGACGCUGAGGCGAGAAAGCGUGGGGAGCAAACAGG
rnacentral:rRNA from 1 species